rnacentral:snRNA from 1 species
GUCUUUCGAGACACAUGGUCAAAAAAAAGAUACAGAGAAGAUUAGCAUGGCCCCUGCACUAAGGAUGACACGCUCAGUAUGGCUUUUCCGAGAGUUGU